rnacentral:rRNA from 1 species
UACAGAGGGGGCAAGCGUUGUUCGGAAUUACUGGGCGUAAAGGGCGCGUAGGCGGCCUGCUAAGUCGAACGUGAAAUCCCCGAGCUCAACUCGGGAACUGCGUCCGAUACUGGCAGGCUUGAAUCCGGGAGAGGGAUGCGGAAUUCCAGGUGUAGCGGUGAAAUGCGUAGAUAUCUGGAGGAACACCGGUGGCGAAGGCGGCAUCCUGGGCCGGCAUUGACGCUGAGGCGCGAAAGCCAGGGGAGCAAACGGG